rnacentral:rRNA from 1 species
GAGUGAACGCUGGCGGUAGGCCUAACACAUGCAAGUCGAACGGCAGCACAGUAAGAGCUUGCUCUUACGGGUGGCGAGUGGCGGACGGGUGAGGAAUACAUCGGAAUCUACUUUUUCGUGGGGGAUAACGUAGGGAAACUUACGCUAAUACCGCAUACGACCUACGGGUGAAAGCAGGGGAUCUUCGGACCUUGCGCGAUUGAAUGAGCCGAUGUCGGAUUAGCUAGGUGGCGGGGUAAAGGCCCACCAAGGCGACGAUCCGUAGCUGGUCUGAGAGGAUGAUCAGCCACACUGGAACUGAGACGCGGUCCAGACUCCUACGGGAGGCAGCAGUGGGGAAUAUUGGACAAUGGGCGCAAGCCUGAUCCAGCCAUAACGCGUGGGUGAAGCAUGCCUUCGGGUUGUAAAGCCCUUUGUUGGGAAAGAAAAGCAGCAGGUUAAUACCCCGCUGUUCUGACGGUACCCAAAGAAUAAGCACCGGCUAACUUCGUG